rnacentral:lncRNA from 1 species
CUCAUAUUUAAGCAAAGGAAAUAGGAAGUGUCCCUCUUUUCCCAUUGCUCCUCCAGCGUCGGGAUGUGAGCCACCAGCAAGGAGGGACACCAAUAAGGCGUCUGAUAAGAUAAUGAAAAUUAUCAUCACUAUUCCUUCUGCAAGUCCCCAGAUUGAAGGUUCAAGAGUAACACCCCAGAAGACUGUCUUUGCUGGCAAGGAAUUUAUUUGAGUCCUUUGGAGUAUUUUACCUGGAGUGCUGUUAAUGUUCUUCAAAAUAUGACCUGUCCAUCAGAUGUGGCUAAAUGAAACUAUCACAAAAACUAAAUCUACAGAUUCAACAAAUAUCAAGCAUCAGCUUGGAGAGUAAUGCACUGAGUUAUAAGAAUAAGUUGAUAAAUUUAUCAAUUGUCUCAUUUAUAUGUGUCGCAAUCUGAUUUGUAGGAAACCCAUGAAUUGGUUCUGAUAUAUAUAUAUAUAUAUAUAUAUAUAUAUAUAUAUAUAUAUAUUCACAUUUCUAUGAAUAAGUUAGGACCUCCCAAUCUAUCCUGGAUAUCCAGUCUAAGUGAAUCCAUGAGGAGGAUACUCUUUCCAACAAUAUCUUGAUACAUACAAGAAGUACUUCUAGUCUCAAGAACGUAUUAUAACAGCUAGGAAGAAUUCAACAAAACGUUGCUAAUAUGCACCUCUUUAUUUACCUGAGUUGAAACAUCUAUACUGAUUCAAACACACUUCAUUUUUAAACUGCACAAAGCAUGAAGUCCUAGCCUGGUAACUUGAAAUUGGAUUCUUCAGCAACAGAAUCCACUGGCUUUUAGUUCACAUCAUAAUCAGUGUGCUGUGUUCCUCACAAGGUGGUCUUUUAUCUGUUAUGUAACAUUCAUCCUACUGAACAUUAAAUAUUGCAUGGCAUAUCAAGCAAUCUGACUGGAACAAUUACUGGUGCUAUACACAUUCCAGGGUCUCUAUUUGUCAAAAAGUUAAUAUUUUUAAAGAUAAAAUGACUUUAAUAUAUAUAUAUGUGUGUGUGUGUGUGUGUAUGUGUGUGUGUGUGUAUAGUCUCCUAAUUAGCUGGCAGUCAGUGCUCAACUUCUGAUUUUAGCUCUGCAGGGUCCUUGUAGAUGUUAUUAUUGCAAAGAGAAAUCAAAAAUCAAAGUGAAUCCUUAGUGUCACUCUUGAAGCAAUAGAGGUGCAAUUGCUGAAAUAGCAGCCAAGCAUUGUGCAAUACAACUAACUCACAGCUUGGUGCAAUGUCCCCACUGAGAGGGAAAUGUAGGGGAACUGCCAGAGUUUUACUACAUCUGCUCCCUGCUGCUAAUGAGCUUUAACCUGUUUCAUUCUUAUUAUGCUUACUGUUUAGAUAUUUUGCUUGCAAAAUUAAUUCUAUAGCUGGGAGAACACUUGAGAGAGGAUAUGAUUUGUAAUAUAGGUCUGUUUAAAAAUUGGAAAGUAUCAGCAAGGGAGAUUAAAGGCUCUAAUGAGUGAUGUGUUACUUAAUAUCAAUUCAAGGACAUAAACUCAGGUGGUACAACUAAUGCUGUUUCUCAGUUUUUUGUCCUCCUGAGAUAUGGGCUGAUGCUGUAGGAGACAUUGUCUUUGUUCUGCAUUCGACAUCUGCACUGGGUGUGUGUGUGUGUGUGUGUGUGUGUCUGUCUGUCUGUCUGUCUGU